rnacentral:lncRNA from 12 species
UAAGAAAUAUCAGAGGUCUUCUGCUUCUAGAGCCUAAGAUUCUUCCCCACAUGAGGCUGCUUUUCAUCAUGGGUUAAGCGAUGUCAACAAAUGUUGAAUAGGACUCAGAUGUGAAUCAGAGCUACAUUGCUUUUUCCUGCCCUACCUUGCCAAAGAGAUAUCUGGAGGAGCAGAAUGAGGGAAAAAUAGCUCCUAGUCAGAUGGAUACAAGCCUAGAACUUACCCUACUUGACUCCUAAUGACGGUUACAUGGCCUAUGUAUCCUCAUGUUUGGAUGUUGUAGGUCAACCUUACUUGAGAGUGUUGGUGGUUUAUUGUCUUCCAGCUUCUUCCAGUUGGAUUUCAAGAAAAAGGAAGCAUGGUUUUACAAGGAAAUGCAAGAGGAGUAUAGCUAAAUGAGUGGAUCAAAUAUGUACAGACAAAUGUUUAGAAGUGGUAAUAGAAGAAAAGUCUUUAAUAAAACACCUUCUGAAAAAAAGAAGAGAGGGGAU